rnacentral:tRNA from 1 species
AGCGGGAUAGAGUAAAUAGGUUAACUCAUUAGACUCAUGAUCUAAGAUUGUAGGUUCAAAUCCUACUCUCGCAA